CUUCUCCAUACGUGGACCCGAGGGGUGUGAGUCCUCAACUGGGGCGGCUUCUGGGAAUUUUUAUAAGCGGCAAAGGAUCCUCAGGCGCCAGAAGUUUGGCUGCGAGAACCUUGAUUUCCCCGGUUCUCAGCGCCUGAGGGCAGCUGGGAGGACGGACCUCAGAGAUACCGACCGAAACCCUGAAGAAUGCAGUGAUGGACGGCCCAGGACGCGUCUCCAAGUCGAGGCCGAGCUUGAGCUGCUCGUCGCUGAAGCUGGCGAGUCGUCCCUGAGGACAGUCUGUGCUCGUGUGUGUGUUGAAAACACUUCAUUAUAAAAAGUUCAAGUGAACCAGACUCUGUGAACAUCGAGGAAGUCCCUCCUAGGUUACAGUCCCGUGAAAGGUAUGCAGCUGCCGUCCUAAGACGUCUCCCAGGCUGCCCGCCUCGGGGCAGAAUCAAGGUGUUAAAGAAAGAGGACCCCGCCCUCAGCCCGUGGCUCCUGGACGCAGAGGAGGUCUCUGCAAAGGCUACUCAGUGGAUUCCCAGCUGCCAGUACCACAGGGCUGGCCACUACAGAAGCCCUCGCUUCAGCAAGAUGGAAGGACUUCACAGCCUGGAUGGCUCUCAUGGCUUCAGGUCCCUGGACCGUUGGCGCCGUCGGCAGCAGCAAAGCAGGUGCACUCGGCCCCUCUCCUGGCCCACCCGGCUCCCAAGGUUGCAGACGUAGGUCUGGCCGUGGGCCGCCCUCUAGCA
rnacentral:lncRNA from 1 species